ACAGGAAGGGACUGUGUGUACUG
rnacentral:piRNA from 1 species